rnacentral:sRNA from 1 species
GAUUUGGGAGCCAAAGGAAGGAGCUCUUCACCCAGUGUGGGGUAUGGUAUCCCUAGAGAAGGUGACUCUGCGGCUGAGCUUGAAGGAAGAGAAUUGGUAGGUGACAAAGAAGAGGUAAUGAGCCGAAAAGAUCAUGUCUGAAAUACAAGGAACGGUUGAGUUUUCGGUAGAGCUACAUAAAUUUUAUAAUGUGGAUCUCUUUCAGAGAGGAUUCUAUUAAAUGUCCAUGAAGUGAUAUUUGUAAAGCACCUAGUAAAAUAGAGGCCCAGGUUUUACAGUACUAGCCAAGAGGACCUAAGCCCUCUAUGGACUACUCCAUUGAUUGUAAUUGAGACUCUGAACCAAACAUCCUCAGCUGGUUAGUGCCAGGGCUAGAACAGACUGUUGAUCUGGUCAAGCUCUGAAUGUAUGUUCCUCUGUACAUUUUAUGCAGGUAUUACCAGAUCCGAGUGACCUUGAAGGUGUCUUCAAGGAUCCCCCACAGACUGAGUGCCUCCAUCACUGGGCAGACAGAGAGCAGCAGCCUGCAUUCAGCCU